UUACGGUCAUAUCCCCUUAAAACACCAGUUCACGUACAAUCACCAAAGUUAAGCAACAUCGAGCCUGGUCAUUACCUAGAUAGGUGACCACUUGGGAAUGCCAGGUGCUGUAAG